rnacentral:rRNA from 1 species
CCUAGGCUCUCAGAGACGAUGAAGGACGUGAUAAGCUGCGAUAAGCUACGGUGAUCAGCACAUAUGAAUUGAUCCGUAGAUUUCCGAAUGGGGCAACCCGGCUGGUUGAAGACCAGUCAUCCCGACUUGUCGGGAAGUGAACCCGGAGAACUGAAACAUCUAAGUACCCGGAGGAAGAGAAAACAAUUAGUGAUUCCGUUAGUAGUGGCGAGCGAACGCGGAACAGCCCAAACCACUUUGGUUACGGCCGAAGUGGGGUUGUAGGACUGCGAUAUCUUAACAAAAACGAACAAGAAUGGUCUGGGAAGUCCAACCGAAGAAGGUGAAAGUCCUGUAUUGGUAAGUUUUUGAGCGGUAGCAGUAUCCUGAGUAGGGCGGGGCAGGUGAAACCCCGUUUGAAUCUACCGGCACCAUCCGGUAAGGCUAAAUACUCCUGAGAGACCGAUAGUGAACAAGUACCGUGAGGGAAAGGUGAAAAGUACCCUGAAUAAGGGGGUGAAAUAGAACCUGAAACCAUACGCUUACAAGCGGUCGGAGCCCAAUAAUUGGGUGACGGCGUGCCUUUUGCAUAAUGAGCCUACGA